rnacentral:rRNA from 1 species
UACGUAGGGUGCAAGCGUUGUCCGGAAUUAUUGGGCGUAAAGAGCUCGUAGGCGGUUCGUCGCGUCGGCUGUGAAUCCCGAGGCUCAACCUCGGGUCUGCAGUCGAUACGGGCGGACUGGAGUUCGGCAGGGGAGGACUGGAAUUCCUGGUGUAGCGGUGAAAUGCGCAGAUAUCAGGAGGAACACCCGUGGCGAAGGCGGCCUGCUGGGCAGUAGCUGACACUGAGGCGCGACAGCGUGGGGAGCAACAGG